rnacentral:rRNA from 1 species
CGCCUAUACACAAAAGCAAAAAUGUCCGUUUAUACAAAAAAAUAGACGGCGUUUCGGUUUUUGGCGGGAGGGAGAGAGAGGGGGGUGCGUGCGCGUGGAUAACGGCUCACAUAACGUGUCGCGAUGGAUGACUUGGCUUCCUAUUUCGUUGAAGAACGCAGUAAAGUGCGAUAAGUGGUAUCAAUUGCAGAAUCAUUCAAUUACCGAAUCUUUGAACGCAAACGGCGCAUGGGAGAAG